rnacentral:lncRNA from 1 species
AUAGCAACAGCAGGGUAGCUGAACAUCUUACGGAUGGCCCAGGGCUCCAAAGGCUUGUUUCCUAAGUGAGAGAGAGCCCGGCUGAAGCUCUAUUACCAUUCAUUCUCUAGCCUCCGAAGUCUCAAAGCAUCACUUCCACCAUACUCUAAUUGUCAAGACAAACACAAAGUCCUAGAAACUGCCAGACUGUCUUCCGAAGUGGCUAUAAUAUUUACACUCCCAUCAGCAGUGUAGAUGGGGGUCUCACUACGUUGUCUGGAGUGCAGUGGCUAGAGUGGAGUGGCUAUUCACAGAGCCAGUUCUGCUGCGACACAGAAUCACUUGCUCCAUCUAAUACAUUGAUGAUGAUUAAUUUGUAUGUGUACCUUCCAAAAAAGAUGGUCGUGUUUGAACGGAGGCCUUCUGGACAGGAAAAUAAUCACAUCCUUCCUGAGAUAAUGAGCACACAAUUGCCUGGAUACCUGAAGGAAUGGAGACAGUGGCAGAAAACACUGCAGAGAGGUGGAAACAUCCGUUAAUAUUUUAAAUCCAUUACUGCUACCAACAAUAAUAACAGAUGCAUAGAAAUAGAUCUGGAUUAGCUGAGCUUGAAACAGUCCAUCUCACACACACCAAAAGAAUCAGAUACAGUGAACCCACAUGUUGAAGCUUUCUAGUAUAAUAAAAAUUUCAACUGUUCUGUUGAAUCAUCUGUCCUGAUUGGAGCUACAGAAAAGUUCAUCUUAGGAGUGCUUGCUCUGAGUGAGGCUCGUCUUCAAAUCUGAAUGACCACAAGGAGAUUUGAUUAUACAUGUGAACACCUCAGAAGGCACAGCCCGCCCAGAAGGCAGACAGGUCAGGCUGCUUUUUCUUCAUUGGUUGGAUUCAGUCCUCCGGCGGCUCAGACAUAACUUAAGCAUGAUUAAACUUUAGAAGAAGCUGCCAGGAAGACUGUGAAAUCUUCAUGCCCAAGGAUCCCUAAAAUUAGGAGCAACAACCACUUGGCUCUGACGGUUUACGGAGGCAAAGGUUUGGAUGGGAUUAGAGAUUUCUAAAUGUGAGUUCAUGUCCUCUGCCAGACCACCUUAUUUCCACCAUUCCUCAGCAAAUCAAGAAAAACAGGAGAAAAGACAUGCCUUUCCAUAAGUUAAAUCUAUUCUGUUUUAAUUCUAUAUUAUAUCUGCUAUACAACUUCUUUUGUUUGUAACACCAUAUUGUUGCUAGUAGCUGGAAAUUAAUUUUCACAUGCCUCAGCUUAGAAAAAUAAAAAGCAGCCCCGCAUCAAUCCCAA